UUUUUGGUGAAAGUAAAAAGUAGGGUCUGCCCAGUGAGUAAUUUUAACGGCCGCAAUAUUUGUGCGAAGGUAGCAUAAUCAUUUGUCUUUUAAUUGAUGACUGGAAUGAAUGGCUGGACGGGGAUAAGCUGUCUUAUGUAUAUAUAUUUGAAAUUUACUUUUAAGUAAAAAGGCUUAAAUAUUUUAGAGGGACGAGAAGACCCUAUUGAGUUUAAUAGAAUUUAUUUAAAUUUUUCUUAAAUUUUUAUGUAAUCUAUUUAGUUGGGGAGAUUUGAUAUUAUUAACUAUAUAAGAAUUAAUAGACUUUAAGUUUUUAGGAUCCAUAUUUUAUGAGUGUUAAGGUAAAUUACCUUAGGGAUAACAGCGUAAUAUUUUUUUAGAGUUCAAAUCGAUUAAAAUGAUUACGACCUCGAUGUUGGAUUAAGGAACCUAAAUUGGAGAAAAUUUUAAU
rnacentral:rRNA from 1 species